ensembl:lncRNA
GGAUUCAUGUUUUUAAUUAGAAAUUUAUUACAUAAUAUAACAAACAUAUAUCUCUGUGGUGGAGCUAUCACAGCUGUGGACCUGCCUCAGCCUCACUACCCUGCCGCCCUUCCCUAUCUGUUUCCUUAUGGAUGAUAAGAGAACCAUGCCUCUGGGUGAAAAGGGUUCAACUGAUCUUGUAAAUCGUGGGACUGACCAUAAAGUGUGUUUUUGUUUCCAUUAUUGUUAUUUUCCAGAAAUCUACUCAAUGGCCAGUGGCCACUGUAUUCUGUCUUAUUUUCCAGUCUGUCUGCCGCUUCUGCCCUGACCUCUUUCAGUACGGUGUGUUUGGGAGUAGACAUGGUUGCUCCCCAUCUUCACCUUCAGAUGCUAGUUAGAGGCAGGUAGCCUAUAUCUCCCUCUCUGCAGACUAAUGAGGGUAUUUUAUUUCAACAGCAAAAAAACAUUUACACUUGAGUAUUCUCUUCCUGUAUCUGAGAUGACACAGAACUGUAUCUUAAAAUCCUGGCCUCACCAAUAGUCACAGUAACACUGUCUAGCAGAAAUCUGUACAUCUAUAGCACCAAAGUCAACGCUACUAUUUUAUUCUAGUUAGCUAGCAAUCUGACCUUUCACAUUUUCACCUACCACAUUUGAGACAUAUGCUGUCAGGAUUAAUCCAACAAUGCUAAACUACUGAAUAAUAUGAAUCUACUGAGGUUGUCAUUAAUCCAGUGUUCAUCAUUAGUUUCAGCCAGGCUACAGUUCUGUGUGGAGUUCAGUGUCUUUGAGGAAGAUAGAGAGCCGGGAUGCCUGGGGGGUCAAGAGGAGGGGAGGUUUAGAUGGGCCAGGCAAGGCCCAGACAUAGCCUGUGAUAGAUCCACCAUGUUAAACUUCACAGUGCAAACAAGGAGAAAAUCAACAAUGAAAGAAAAACCCUUUGAAUGAUGAUAAGAUCACUAGAUCCAGUGGUGGGUCUACCAGAUACCCUCUCACCGUGUAGAUUUGUGCUUUGUUGAUUAGAAAAGAAGAUGAAGUCGACCGUACAGAGAAACUCAUUGGUGUGAAUGAAGUGUCUGCCUCACCUUUCUGUGUCCCGCAGCAUGGGUUUGCAUCUGUAUAGGCUACCUGUGGUAAACCUACUAAGGGGUCCAACUAGGUUCUCUGUUACUGACGUGUUUUCUAACCAGGAAAGCAACUGGAGUCCAAACUGCACUGUGUGUGUGUGAGCGCAUGUGCAUGCCUGCAUGUGCGUGUGUACAGCAUGUGUGUAUAUAUGAGCUGUGUGUUUAAACCCAUGUCAGCAUCUCUCAGCAUCAGUUAGACAAGCUAUACAACCUUCAUCACAUUUAAACCAAGCAAUACUUUGAUACCUUGUCUCAAAAUAUAUAUAGAAAUGGUAAUAAUGCAAAUAAUAAUUUGUUAAUUCAUAAAAUCUGGUCAUUUUUCAGGAUAUAUAUAUAUAUAUAUAUAUAUAUAUAUAUAUAUAUAUAUAUAUAUAUAUAUAUAUAUAUAUAUAUAUAUAUAUAUUCCUUUACAAAACAUAAAAAAACGCCUGGAGUUCCACUCCAAAAAGGUUGUGCACACACAGUGGAGAAGCUAAAUGAAUGUCUGUAGUUCUCAAGAUUCCCAGGAGAUGGCACCAUAUUACUGAGUAACAGCUCAACAACUUCCAAACUAAAGUAGUCCUAUUAAGAAAAAUACACCAUUGAAAGUUUUUUGUUAUUUUUUGGCACGUUUUUCCCUCUUUGUUUCUUUUUUUUUGUCAGUCCUCUUCAAAAUCACCUCAUCAUAGCAUACCCUAAAAAACUCAAAGUCUGAAAAGGGAAAAGGGAGCAAAGAGUGUGUAACAGGAUGAAACGCAGAGCAGAGAGUGUGUCUCAGGAUGAAACAUGGAGCAGAGAGUGUGUAACAGGAUGAAACGCGGAGCAGAGAGUGUGUAACAGGUUGAAACACGGAGCAGAGAGUGUGUAACAGGAUGAAACGUGGAGCAGAGAGUGUGUAACAGGUUGAAACACGGAGCAGAGAGUGCCAGUGCACCUCGUCAUGAGGAGAGUCAUAGGGAGGUGUUGUAGGGCAGAUGGUAACACUGUAAUUGUCUGUGUCUAUGUCUCCAAUUGAACCACAGCCCAAACCACACACAAUGCCCAAGGCAGACAGGGUCUCUGACACACAGACAGGGGCUAUACAGGAACAGACAGAAUGUAAAGAAGAUUAAACUGUAUCGCUUUCAGCACCCCAGUAUUGUUUUGAUCUCUCUCUUUCUCUCUCUCUCUCUCUCUCUCUCUCUCUCUCUCUCUCUCUCUCUCUCUCUCUCUCUCUCUCUCUCUCUCUCUCUCUCUCUCUCUCUCUCUCAUCAAUGAAUAGAUAUCAAAGGGUCCUAUAAUGAUUACAGAUUUGGAGUUCAGUCUGUGUCUCUGUUUGUGCAAAUGUGUGUGUGCACCACGUGUGAGUGUGUUUGUGUGUGUGAGACACAGCCACUGCCAGGAAUCUCUGAUGGUAUUAAGGCUAAAGUGGACUCACUUCGAGGGUUUGAACUAGCGCACACACACAUACAUACACGCACCACACAGAGGAGAGGGGGGAGUGUACAGAGAGUCAGGGUGUUCCUCCCUUCACAGCCUGCAUGCGCUGUAACGAAUGGUGGCUGUAUUGCUAGCACCGUGUUUUGUGCAAAUCAUCUCCUAGUUCAGAGUUCAUAGAAAGAAUACAAUCUGAUCACACAUUUUUUCCUCAGUGAUUAACUAUGCAUAUAUGCCAAACAUUCAUAAAUAGAUCUAUAUAUUUUUUGAUUUUCAAAAAUGUAUAUGAAAACUAUCAUAUAUACAUUGCUUUUGAUUAAUAUAAAAAAGCAAAUAUUUGUAUUUUGUUCAUAUUUACAGGGUGUAUGUCAUUUUGAGAGGUUUAAAUAUUUUAGUUUCUCUUUUUCUUGGUCACUCUGAAAUUCAGAUUAGGUGAGUGAAUAGAAAAAGUUCUUAAUGUCUUAAUCCAAUAGCUACAAAAUCCACCCCUACAUUAUGGGGGGGCAUAACAAAUAAACACAAACCAACAAUCAACUCUUACAAUAUGGAGGGGGGGGGGGCAUAACAAAUAAACACAAACCAACAAUCAACUCUUACAAUAUGGAGGGGGGCAUAACAAAUAAACACAAACCAACAAUCAAC